rnacentral:lncRNA from 1 species
AAAGCAUGAAACUCCGUCUCAAUCAAUCAAUCAAUCAAUCAAUCAAUAAAAUAAAUCCAAGGCCUAAAUCCAAAUCUCAUGCUCUAUCUGUGAUCUGAGCCAUGGAGUAGCCAUUCUAAUCAGGACUCUUUUUUUCUACUCCAAACUCAUCACCACUGCCAAAAUCCACUGCCAAGGGUUACACCUGGGCAAGGACAUUGCUCCAGUUCAAAUUCAAAUGACCUGGGAGACAAAACCCACUUUUGUGAAAAUAUGUCAGAAAGAAAUUGAUCUGAACUUGGGAACAGGUUUUGAUCCAAGGGCUAGUGUACAGCCCAGGGAGGGCCAGCGGAAGUAAGAAGACAGCUCCAUCCAUCAGGAGCCUCUGUGUUCAGGGGACAGUGGGCAGGGGGUGGGUUGCCAGGAGAGGGAAGAAGCUGGGGAGGAUCAAGGGAAAAAGUUAGGGGAAGAGCGCUGAGAGUUCACGCCCACUCUCCUGCUUGGGCCCUGAUAACUGGGGAAGAUUCAGGGCAGAGAAAGAGGAGUUUACAGGUCUCAGGAACUGAGGUGGGUUACACCCAGUAAAUGACUUCCUAAAGGUCAACUAGCCAAAGCCAUGCCCUCCUCUGUGGCCUGGGCCAGGUGGGGCAGGCCAGGUGGAUGCUGGGAUGGCCCAGAGGGCAAAUAAUGGACAAUGAACCAGGCCAGGGCAGCAUCUCUGCUGGGCGGGAAAAACAGGAAGCUCAGGCACAUGCAAGCCAGGUAAGUGUGUGUCUUGAAGAUGGAUGAGAGUUCCCAGACAAGGGUGACCUUUUCUUUCACCUCGUCCAGCUAGACAGACGUGGUGGUUCCAAGGCCCCUUGUCAUCUGCUGAUUGCUUUGUGAUUAAUGUACAAGUCACUUAUUCCCAUCUCCUGUCCCUGCUCCAUUCUCCCCCAGCUCCCGGGCAGACUCUUCUGCCCUUAGGUAAUUUACUUAGAAAUGAUUGUCCCUAGAAUCUCUCCAUGUGCUUUGUGUACAGAUAGUGACCAGGUUCUGCAUGUGAUUUCCCUGUGGAAUUCCAACCAAGGACAGACAGUUAGCCUAAAAACAACAGCAGAAGCAGCAGCAACAACGAUGCUGAGUGCUGACUGCGAGCCUGGCUUCCUCGGAGGGAGUUUACCGUGCGCUGCCUCCUUGGACCCUCAUCACUGCCCUGCGAAGCAAGCACUUUCCUCACCCCCUCUGUCUGGAGGAGGGCACUGAGGCACCGAGAAAACUGGGCAGGGGAGGCCCGAGAAGGAGAGGGUGGCACCGUCAUUCUCACUUUCCAGCUGAGGACACGGGUAAGUGGCAUGCGUCCGCUCCUGUGACUUACAGGAGUCCCGGGACUCGCACUCGGGCCUCUGGACUCCUAGCCUGGUGUUUUCCCCUGGAAGUUUCUGAACCAAAAAAAAAAAAUGUCUGAACCAAAGCACACAACGAGAUUGUGAGUGGAAAUCAGCUUCAGCUUCCCUGGUGUUUCUCCACGGUGAUCCUCUGUGUCUGUCACUGAAGGGGCCAGGAUGUCACCACCAACGGUAAUGACCUGGGCUUUGAGUGGAGCAUUUAACCUGUUCAGCCAGCUGUUGGAAGUGCAGAAACUAGUCCCUCCCAGUCACAAACUACCCCGGUUGCUCCACCAUCUGCAUCCAGCUUCAUUACUUAAUUCACUUUGCAAAGUUAAUCCAGUGAUCCAAGCUCCUAAUAGUCCCCAGUUUGACUUCCGCAGCUUCCCUUUCUCUCCACACCCAGCCUAUCCCGGGCUUCUGGGUCACCAAGAAGCAGGACCCUUUCUGUUGAUUUCUUCUGGGAGGAGGCCAUCUCAAUAGCCCUUUACAACAACCCAUGAGGUCUCCUGAUUUCCGUGUUUUCUUGGAGUCCCCUGAGCUUUGGUUUGCAGCACAAGCUCAUUCCCCUCUGUGCUCCCCUCUCACUGUGUGGAACCUUCUCUAAUAGACUCACCUCUGGGGAGAGGACGUGCUCCUUUCUGGCCGCAGCUGCAGCCAUUCCAAUGUACAUCAAAGCGCUCGUCUUUCUAUCUCCACUUCUUAAAUGGUUUUGCUUUUUCUCUAUUUCUUCCUUCUCAUGGGCAGCUCAGAGCUCAUCUGUGACAGUGACCACCCUUCUGCCCCAGCCCUGGCCCCACGACCUUCCCUAACACUGCAAACAACUUCACUCUUGGCCUCCUGCUGGAUAUCUGAUGGUUUCUAUAACAGUGAAUUUGCAAAUAGUUGGAACCUCUGAAGUGCUUCCUCUCCUGGACUGGAAACCCCUUGAGGAUGUGUACGGCACCCGCAUCCCCUCCAUCUGCACCCGCAGCCACAGCCACAGCCACAGCCAGCGCUAUGUCCCGUUGCCAUUCACAUUCAUACCUGCAACGUACACUCAUACAUGUGUCGGAUAUUUGCGAAGAAGCUCCCUUUCCCACCUAGCCUGAGGGAUCUAAAGCCUUGGGACUUCUGGAUCUGCAAGUGGUCCCUGUUUUGGUAGCUAUUGACUGACGAGGGGCUCUUCGGUAAGUUCUGGGGUGGCAGUGGAGGUGAUGAUGGGAGGGUGUUACAGGGCUCCACAGGCUCUUACAGGGCUCGGGAGCUUAUUUAAGGGAACACCUUGAUUGUCCAUGUGUCGUGGGCCAGAGAAGAAAGGCAGCACUGUGGAUCUUCUGGGAGGAAAGGAGAGGCGUCGAUUUCUGACUCCAGUUUUCUAUGAUCAGCACAGACUCUGUCCCACCUCCUCCCUACAGAGCUUCUGGAUCCUGGAGGAUGGAGAAUAGGCUAAAUUGCACAGGCCAGCUCCAGUCCAUUGGCAGGGCUGCCUAGAACAUGGCUGUGAUGAUCCCAAAGCUCAAUAGCAGAGAACCCUGUGGGGUGCUAGGAGUGUCUGCCAGGGUGCCGCAGGGAAAGGGGAGCAUGUGUGUAGAUGUAGAAAGCAUCUCUGCCAUCCCCUCCCCUAAAGAAUAUAUAACAUGGCCAUGCAGAAAAACACUUGUGAAAGGAGCUGCUGCCCUCAGGACAGCGUGUCAUUGAAAUGGGGGCUGAGCAACCCGUCAGAAGAGUGGGGAGGAGGGACCAUCCUCCAGCCCCUUCCCAGCUCUCUUCUGGAGCCAUAAGCCACAACACUGUCUAUGAAAAAGCUGAGGCCUAGAGCAGAAGGAGUGCAAAAUCCCAGCUACUGCAGGCCUACGCCCAGUGGUUCUCAAAGUGUUGUCCUCAGUCUAGCAGCAUCAGUGUCACCUGAAAACUGGUUAGACAUCCAGGUUCUCAGUUGUUAUCCAGCUCUAGCAGAUGGGAAACGCUGGGGGCGGGACCAGCCAUCUGUGUUUAACAAGCCCCACAGGUGACUGCUGUAGCCUUGAGUGAGGACCUCGGCCAAAAAGAAGGCUCCUACCGUGGCUGUUUGCUGAUGGUCUUCGCAGAGCCUGCUGUCUUUGAGCUUCCUGAGAGAGGGACACUACCCUCGCUUAGCCUGGCAGUGUUGCCCAGGAGGAGGCAGUGGAGUUAAGAAGCCUGGGUCUGAGCUCCUCAGCUGUGCAGACAACUCCUACUUGUUCUUCAACGCUCAACUUUAAGUUCAGUCACCACCUGCAGAAGUCUUCUCCAAAACCUCCCCACCUGGCUGACUAAGGGGCUGGCUUUAUGCUCUUGCAGUACUCAUGCUUCCUACUGUCACAGUUCUGACCACACCGUGGGAAAACGUCUCUAACUAGAGACCUGUCUUGCCUCUUGUGCCUGUAGUACGGGAUGGGUGCCCAGUGUGUGUUGAUUGUAUGAAUCAAUCUCUGUGACUCCAGAGUUCCUUUCUUCAGGAGAUUAGACAUCACCCCUGCAAUCAACAAUGCAAGCCACUGCUGUUUCCUCCAUCCUGAGCAUGAGGAACCUAUCCAGUUUCUCUCUCAGAUGCCAGGGCCAUGAGGCAAGUCCAGCCUUGGCCUAGAACCAAAGAUGGAAACAAAAAGGGGCCAGACUGUGUUGCCUUCUUGAGCCUGGUCUGACUCCUGAGUGGAAGUCUGAUUCCAGGUACAUGAGAUAAGCACUAAUACCUCCAGUUUGCAGAUUAAGAGACUGAGGUCCUGAAGAGGUUAAAGAACUUGGCUCAAGUCACAUAGCUGGUGAGCAGCAAGAUACAAGAAUCAACCCAAGUCCAGGGGGCUGUGUGCCGUUUACACUUCACAUCUGUGCUGCCAGGGCUGUAGCUAUAAAAGCUUGAAAACCAUUACUCUGAGAAUCUCUCUGUUGGGAAAAUGAGUCCCUUCAACUCUAGUUGUUGCCACUGGGAUGCUAACAGAAAGCAAAGUCUCAGAGGAAAGAUGUGGCAUUCCUGAGUGUCUUCCAUGUACCAGGACUUCUAUUUGCUAGCCACUUUAUGUUCCUCAUCCCAUCCUUCUGUGAGGGACAUACUUUUCAGAUGAGAAACGUAAGCUCCGCGAAGCUAAGGGGCCGGACUGAGGUCCCACAGCGAGAGUGUGGAGGAGCCAGGAUCCGAACCCCAUCGCCAGCCCUUGCCAGUUCCAUGAUUCCGGUGCCAGCGCUCGCCUGACCUCCAGGGCUGUCAUGGUGGGAAGGGACUGGAGGGCAUCUGCUGGGCAAAGGAAAGAGACAAACAUCAUCCCAGAGCCUGUCUUCCCUGGGCAAUACCCGGGCCACUCCAGACAUGGCGUCUUUAGCCCUUCCUUGGUCACUGGCCCCCAGGUGAAGAGAGCAUUUUUCUCUGACUCAAGUUCUUGCCUCUGGAUUUGCCAAGCUCCUAUGACAGUCUUCGCCCUUCUGAAGCUCUCUCAGGCUCCCCUUCCAGAAAUCCCGCAGGUUCCACCGACCUCUCUGAGAGCACAGGCGAGUGGUUGAACGGUGGGCUUUAGAGACGGCGCGGCACCAGAGUCCUGUACUGGCUGUGUGAUCCUGAACCUCCUCACUGAGAUUCUCAUCUGCAAGAUGGAGA